rnacentral:ncRNA from 1 species
CACGCGUGCCCGGGGCGCCCCAGGCGUCCCCACAUCUUCAUACGCAACGCGGGAGCUCGCGCCAUGGCGGGCUGAGAGGGCGACUCAACGGUGUCGCCGACCGCAGAACCUGUUCGGGUAAUUCCGACGUAGGGAGGCAUGCCAUGACGGCU